CUAAGAAUAUUCCGCAAUGGACGAAAGUCUGACGGAGCGACGCCGCGUGGAUGAAGAAGGCCGAAAGGUUGUAAAAUCCUUUUGCUGGGGAAGAAUAAGCGUGGGAGGGAAUGCCCACGUGAUGACAUGAACCGGCGAAUAAGCCCCGGCCAACUACGUGCCAGCAGCCGCGGUAACACGUAGGGGGCGAGCGUUGUUCGGAAUUACUGGGCGUAAAGGGCAUGUAGGCGGUUUUGUAAGCUUGACGUGAAAGACCACGGCUCAACCGGGGGGGUGCGUUGAGAACUGCGAUGCUUGGGUUACGGAGAGGGAGCUAGAAUUCCUGGUGUAGGGGUGGA
rnacentral:rRNA from 1 species